GACAUUUAAAGCCUUAAACGGCCUUGGUCCUGUAUACCUGAAGGAGCAUCUCCACCCCCAUCGUUCAGCCCAGACACUGAGAUCCAGCGCCAAGGGCCUUCUGGUGGUUCCCUCAUUGCGAGAAGUGAGGUUACAGGGAACCAGAUAGGGGGCCUUCUCUGUAGUGGCGCCCACCCUGUGAAACACCCUCCCUUCAGAUGUGAAGGAAAUAAGCAGCUAUCCUAUGUUUAAAAGACAUCUGAAGGCAGCCCUGUUUAGGGAAGUUUUUAAUAUUUAAUGCUGUACUGUUUUUAACACUUGAUUGGAAGCUGCCCAGAGUGGCUGGGGAAACUCAGCCAGAUGGGCGGGGUAUAAAUAAUAAAUUAUUAUUAUUAUUAUAUAAUGAUCUUCCUCUGCUUCACUUCAGAUAAUUCAGUGGGGCCUCUUCUCAGUUCAUUCUCUUCUGGAUCAGUGCCUUAAUCCUUUGUAGAUUCUGUAUAUCACAGAAUAACCAUUGAGAUGUCCCCAGAUGUUGUUGUCCAGUUCCCAUCAGCUUCAGCCAGCAGGGCAGACAGUCAAGGAUGAUAGAAACUCUAAUCUGGACCUCACCACCUGGACUCUGCUGCCCUAUAUCCUUCCCAUUGAAACAACCGUGAAAAUAAAUUUUGGACGCUAUAGAUUUAUCCUGGUCUGGAGCAUGCAAUGUCUUUUGUUUUGCAGCUGUGUGAUUUGUGCUCAUAUUGUAUUGUGGUG